CUUUGGCCUUAGUGGCGCACGGGUGCGUAACGCGUGGGAAUCUGCCCUUUGCUUCGGAAUAACAGUUAGAAAUGACUGCUAAUACCGGAUGAUGUCUUCGGACCAAAGAUUUAUCGGCAAAGGAUGAGCCCGCGUAGGAUUAGGUAGUUGGUGGGGUAAAGGCCUACCAAGCCGACGAUCCUUAGCUGGUCUGAGAGGAUGAUCAGCCACACUGGGACUGAGACACGGCCCAGACUCCUACGGGAGGCAGCAGUGGGGAAUAUUGGACAAUGGGCGCAAGCCUGAUCCAGCAAUGCCGCGUGAGUGAUGAAGGCCUUCGGGUCGUAAAGCUCUUUUGCCCGGGAUGAUAAUGACAGUACCGGGAGAAUAAGCUCCGGCUAACUCCGUGCCAGCAGCCGCGGUAAUACGGAGGGAGCUAGCGUUGUUCGGAAUUACUGGGCGUAAAGCGCACGUAGGCGGUUACUCAAGUCAGAGGUGAAAGCCCGGGGCUCAACUCCGGAACUGCCUUUGAAACUAGGUGACUGGAAUCUUGGAGAGGCGAGUGGAAUUCCGAGUGUAGAGGUGAAAUUCGUAGAUAUU
rnacentral:rRNA from 1 species